CAAAAAAAACCCUUUUAACAUUCCAAAUUCUUACAAAUAUAUCCCUAGAGUUAAAUUUUUAGUGAACGGUUAGGAACAGUUGUUAUCUAUGUGAAAUUACUAUUUUGCCCUUUCUAAUAUAGCCUUCUGCGGUCACCGAUUUUUCUUAUUUGUCCAUAAGUUUGGGGCAAAAGAAGUAUUUUGACUGCUUGCCCUUUCAAAUAUAGCUUUCUACCGUCACAAACUUUUCUUAUUUGCCCGUAAGUUAGGGGCAAAAGAGAUAUUUUUGCCUUCUUUUUAACUCUGGUAGAAAUUUAAUCCGGGUUUAACUCGAGAUGACUUAACGGGUACUAACAGCAGAAAUAUUUUUGAAUAACGGAAAAAAAUAUAAGGGGUAUAUUUGAAAUAAAAAAAAGUAGGGGUAUAUAAGAUAUUUCAGAAGUUUUGAGGAAUAUAUAAGUAAUUAUCCCUUUUCUUUAUUAUAUAUUUGAAACAAACAUGGUUGCAUCCAGUAUAUGAUUUGGACCAGCAGUUAAGAACUCAUGGUUUCCAACCCUGUCCGAUAAAUUUUUGUAUCUGAAUUUGUAUUUGGAGAAAUACGGGUAUGGAAGUAGUCAGUUGCUGUCUGAACAAUAUCCGAUGCGUUUUCAUCCCUAGUAAUGUGACAGGUACUGAUUUAAUAUUCUGAAGAAGAGAUAUAGUUGCUUCUCACCCUCUAAGAAGGAAUCAUUAUCCUGAAAUUUCUUUCUUAAUACCCAUAUUGUUGUCUUGGAUGCUUCACUUCCCAGGUGGGUCACCCAUCCUAGAACUAUUCUAUCUCUAGGCUCACUCAGUCUUUUUAACCUUUUGGUUCUAGCCACCACCAAAAAGCUAUAGCUGGGUUAAGAGGUUUAGUCCUGUAUUACCUUUUAUAUAAGACUAUUAUAAAUCCUGGGGUGUUACGUCUCUUUUCAUUUUAAUUUUUUUUGCAGUGGAAAUCUUUUUAGAUUGUUUUAAGUUUUUCUUAACUUUCUCGUAUGUCAUGCAUCUAGGUAGUCUUCUUAAUCUUUGUUGUUAGAACCUUUUUGACUCUCUCUACUCUCUCUACCUGGAUUCAACCGUUAACCAGAUAGAAUUGUCCUCUUCUUGUUCUGCAGAAUGUAUUCACCUAUACAUGAACAAAUAAUAUGCAUUUUUUUUUAUAAUUUACCUCGGAAUAUUUACUUUGUUUUUUUGAUUAAUUAGAUCACUGCAGUAGGCAAGUUUUUUUUUUUUUUUGGUUUAUACAAUCUGUUUCCAGCAUAUUUAUUUUAAUGGCUUUUCUGUUUUCUGAAUUAGUAUUUUGUCGUUGACAUUUUGUUGUAUUCCAGCUUCUUUUAUUGUACCUUUUUAUGUUCUUUCAACAUACUUGUACAUCUUUUUUCUCUUUAUGCUAGUAAUCUCUAGCUACCAUUUUACCUUGAACCCUAAAUCCUAAACCCUUGGGGCAUGUUUGGUUCAUGAUUGGAAUGAGAACGGAAAGUGGAAUGAUGAAUCAUCCCUAAAUGUUUGGUUCAUUAUUGGAAUGGAAAUCAGUAUGAACAAUUGGGACACUUAGGAUUAUGAGAGAAGGUUUUGGUUGAGAGAGAAGAGAGUGACGAAGAGAGAGGGGGAAAGGUGAUUACGCGAGAGGGUUUUGAAUGAUUUACUCUGGAAUUGGCUAGUUUAGGAUUCAAAGCUGGAUUGAGUUAUAAAUGGAUUGGGCCAUUCCCAUUCUAGAGUGGCAUGAAAAUCAGAAUCUGAUUCCUAUAAACAAACAACAACUAUCGGAAUCAGUAAAUCAGUAUAUCCUAUUCCAAUUAUAGGUGAACCAAAACAUCCCUUAUUUCCUACUCACUCUCUUCAAAAUUUUCUUAUUGGAUAAUUUGAAUGUGUAAUGGCUGUUUAGAUAGUUUCUUAUCAAUGUAUAAUGGUCAAUGCCACCAAUCAAAUGAGAGGAAUAAGAGGGAUGUGUUAAAAUAUUAAAAAUGGAAGGGGAAAAAGAAUGCAAAUAUUAAGUCUGGAAAGGUAAAUAUGCAAAUUUUAAAUACUGCAGAGGUAAAAGAUACAAAGUUAACUCCUCAUCUUGGAAAAUUCUAGAUGCAUUUUAGAAAAAAUUAAUUUGCAUCAUAUAGCUAAGAAAUUCGGUUGUACUGGGAACAAGAGCUCUUUUAUGUUGGAUGUCCAUAUGCUUGGGUUUUUGUUCAAACAGGCUGUUUGGCCUUGUUUGGAUGUCGUCCAAUGUUAACUUAUUUCAGUAUGAGAAUUUUCUUGUAUUAUUGGAAGCAAGGAGUUUGCUUUUUGCUCUUUAGAAGGUCUUAGCAUUCAUGAUUUGGUAGGAUAACAUAUUUCAUCCCACAAGAUGAUUUAUCCAAUUGUAAAAAAUAGUAAUAAUAACUUGAAGGUUGAAUAUGGUACACUUCUCAUUCAAUAUGUUCAUGCAUCUAAGCAGGGCCUCAAUGUCUUACACUGAUGUCCAAGUAUUUCUUCAUUUUCCUUGCCAAAGGAGGCUGUGAUGAUUGCCAGUUCAGAAUGCAUCUUAAAUUUGAGUCAGGUUGGCAGCAUAUUGUGCCCAUUGACACCUCUAAGACGAAUAUCCCUCAUUAAUAUGCGGGAUGAAUGGCAUUGCAGUGAGCGGUUCAUGGCUGACGUGGUGGACCUGGUGCAGGCAAUAAUUUCUCCUUUAUCCACAUCUUUUGGGUACCUUUUUGUUGAGGAAUUCUACACUGUCACACUUGCACCAUGUCAUCAAUAACAAGCCAAUCACAUUUCUUCUUUUCAAACAAGAGUACAAUAAAAAUAUUUUUUUACAAUCAUGUUGGGACAUAUAUCCCUGAAAGGAGACAUUUGAUUGGUUUGUUACGCCACGUCACCAAUAUUCCCGUUGCAUUCUAGAAUUUUUCCUUUUUGUUCUCUGAGAAGUGGCUGGCAAUAAUUGGAAGGUCUGCUUUCUUGUAGGCAACCAUUUGCUCCCAUUUGCUCUUAAGGUGCAUAGGACUUUAUGAUUCCUUAUGAUUUUGGUGGCAGAUCUGAGCCUCCUUUUUCUUCUCCUACUUCAUUCUUGCUUCGUUUUUUUUUAUUUUUGGGUAAAAACGUACAGAACUUAUCUGAACUAUAAACAAUUUUGAGUUGGUUAUUCAACCUUUCAAAAUUUUGAUUUUACUAUCCAACUUUUCAAUUUAUUUGCUUUGAGUCGGUCAAUGGUACUUUGAACUCAAAAUUUGAAUACAUCGUUUAUCUUUGUAGGUUUAGUUAGUAUACUUCAUGCAAUUUUCGCAACUAUAAAUUCAUUAAAGUAAUUAGCUUAAAUUUUGAGAGAGAAAGAGAUGGCAUAACUAUCCGCUUCGUUCAUUCUUUAGAAAUGAACUAAGUGAGAAAUGUGAGGCAAUUAGUCUUCAAACAUGUAACCUUGGGUUCCAACCAUUUAGCUCUUAGCCAACUGCACUAGGUACGGUCAGUUACUUCAUUCUUGUUUAAACUUUUAAUAUUUUUUUAUAUGUUCUUUCUGAUUUUUUCAUGUUUUUCCAUGUUGGUUGUUGCAUGUAGGGGCAAUUUUUCUCGUUUGCCAUUGCUCGUCUUUAAACUUGUGGAUGUAUGUGCGGACAAAUACAAGCACCUGCCAUACCUCUAAGUGGUUCAAAACUUCAAAUGGCAGCAGGAAGAGGGAGGGCAAACUCAUGCAAAAUUUCCAAAACACUUGUCAAAUCUCGCCCUUUAACGCCUUGUGCAAUUUAAAGUUUUUCUCUUAGUUUUUAAUGCCUUUUUUUCGUUGAAGGAGGUGGUGAUGAUUGCUGGUUGAGAAUAUGCCUAAUUUUUUCUCCGUGCUUUCGUUUUCCUCAGAUUAUGGAAAACAGGCACACUUAAUACACAGGAAAACCUAAAAAAUCGGGUUCAUAUUUGAUAAUCCAAGGGUGACUAGAUCAGGUUGGUGGGUGAGCUCUGUCCAUCUGAUGCCCACCCUUCAUUAGUUUGUUGGAUACUUGGAAAGGCAUAUUAUGGGGCAGUGUAUACUGACAUAGCGCACCGUGUGCCGGCAGUAGCUUCUCAUAUAACUUCUCAUUUCCUCGGACUCCUGUUAUCCGUGAAGAGGCAGGGGCAUAAAUCGGAGGUCUGCCGUUCUGCAGAAAACCAUCUGCUGCUGUUUGCUCUUAGGGCUGGUUUGGAUAUCAGAACAGGCUAUCCAAGAAUAAUUUGUCCACUGUGAAGAUUCUCUUUUGUGACAGCGAGAUACAAGUUCAAUUCCAUUCUGAAAUUUCCUUUCAGUGUGGUUUGUUAUCUUAAGAUCAAACAAACUGACUGAUGCUUCUCGUUUUUUUAUUAUCCAUGUCAUUCCCAUAUCAAAGAACUGUUUUGAUGAUCGCCGGCGGUAGAUGCAAAGUACGCUGUUAAUGUUCCUGCGAUGCAAAGUUUUAUCUGAGGCCCCCUUACAUUGUCGACACGAUAAUGUUGUUAUUUACAACAGCUCUCCAGGGUAAAACAGUGAUUGUAGUUUCAGAUGAAUUACAAACAAAGGAUAUAGAAAGAGUUGAUACUUAACUAGCAGGGGAAUGUUUUGUUUCAGUUGUAUUCUUUCAUUUUGUUUCAGAUUGCUGUUUUUCUGUGGCAAGUAAGUUUGCUGAAACUGAUUUUGAAUGUGUUGCUGUAAGUUGGUUUACAUUAGUCUUUGCCUUUUUGUUACUCUUCAUACUUUGAAGGAUAGACAUGUUGGAUUUAA